UAGGGAAUCUUCGGCAAUGGACGAAAGUCUGACCGAGCAACGCCGCGUGAGUGAAGAAGGUUUUCGGAUCGUAAAACUCUGUUGUUAGAGAAGAACAAGGACGUUAGUAACUGAACGUCCUCUGACGGUAUCUAACCAGAAAGCCACGGCUAACUACGUGCCAGCAGCCGCGGUAAUACGUAGGUGGCAAGCGUUGUCCGGAUUUAUUGGGCGUAAAGCGAGCGCAGGCGGUUUCUUAAGUCUGAUGUGAAAGCCCCCGGCUCAACCGGGGAGGGUCAUUGGAAACUGGGAGACUUGAGUGCAGAAGAGGAGAGUGGAAUUCCAUGUGUAGCGGUGAAAUGCGUAGAUAUAUGGAGGAACACCAGUGGCGAAGGCGGCUCUCUGGUCUGUAACUGACGCUGAGGCUCGAAAGCGUGGGGAGCAAACAGG
rnacentral:rRNA from 1 species